rnacentral:rRNA from 1 species
GACGAACGCUGGCGGCGUGCUUAACACAUGCAAGUCGAGCGGUAAGGCCCUCCGGGGUACACGAGCGGCGAACGGGUGAGUAACACGUGGGUGACCUGCCUCUAGCUCUGGGAUAAGCCUGGGAAACUGGGUCUAUUACCGGAUAUGACUCCAUGACGCAUGUUGUGGGGUGGAAAGCCUUGUGCGGCUGAGGAUGGGCCCGCGGCCUAUCAGCUUGUUGGUGGGGNGAUGGCCUACCAAGGCGACGACGGGUAGCCGGCCUGAGAGGGCGACCGGCCACACUGGGACUGAGACACGGCCCAGACUCCUACGGGAGGCAGCAGUGGGGAAUCUUGCGCAAUGGGCGAAAGCCUGACGCAGCGACGCCGCGUGA